rnacentral:rRNA from 1 species
UAGGGAAUCUUCCACAAUGGGCGAAAGCCUGAUGGAGCAACGCCGCGUGUGUGAUGAAGGGUUCCGGCUCGUAAAACACUGUUGUAAGAGAAGAAUGACAUUGAGAGUAACUGUUCAAUGUGUGACGGUAUCUUACCAGAAAGGAACGGCUAAAUACGUGUCAG